GUGGUGAUCUGCCCUGCACUUCGGGAUAAGCUUGGGAAACUGGGCCUAAUACCGGAUAGGAACCAUCUUUAGUGUGGUGGUUGGAAAGUUUUUUCGGUGUAGGAUGAGCUCGCGGCCUAUCAGCUUGUUGGUGGGGUAAUGGCCUACCAAGGCGGCGACGGGUAGCCGGCCUGAGAGGGUGUACGGCCACAUUGGGACUGAGAUACGGCCCAG
rnacentral:rRNA from 1 species